rnacentral:rRNA from 1 species
UACAGAGGGUGCAAGCGUUAAUCGGAAUUACUGGGCGUAAAGCGCGCGCAGGCGGUCCUUUAAGUCUGAUGUGAAAGCCCACGGCUCAACCGUGGAGGGUCAUUGGAAACUGGGGGACUUGAGUGCAGGAGAGAAGAGUGGAAUUCCACGUGUAGCGGUGAAAUGCGUAGAGAUGUGGAGGAACACCAGUGGCGAAGGCGACUCUUUGGCCUGUAACUGACGCUGAGGUGCGAAAGCGUGGGGAGCAAACAGG